rnacentral:lncRNA from 1 species
UAUAUGAUUGUAUUGUUGGGCCUAUAAUGUAUAGAAGUGUAAUCUAUUUGACAAUAACAACAAAAAUGAGGUGGGUGGGAGCAAAUCUGUAUUGGAAUAAAGACAUAACAGCAGAUGGUAACUCAUACCCGUGAGAACAAAUAACAAGAACCAGAAAUAGUAUAGAAGAUUAAUAUAAUAUACUCUAUAAAUAUAUAUUUACUAUCCUUCUCAGCUUCUUUAAAUGAUAUAAAACUAUACAAGGCAAUAUUAUAACAAUGUAUUAUUUGCAUAUUAUAUAUGCGCUAUGUAUAACAAUAGUACAAAAAGUUAGAAAAGGGAAUUGAGUAAUAGAAGAAUAAUGUUUCAGUAUCUCACUGGAAUUAAGUUAGUAUAAAUCUGAAAUAGAUUCUGAUAAGCUAAAAUGAAUAGAGUAAGCUCUAGAGUAACCACUAAGAAAACAACUGAAAAAAAUAGAAUGGAAAAUGAUUGAAGGAAUUAAAAUGUUACAUAAUAAAAUAUUCACUUAAUGCAAAAGAAAGAUUAAAGGAGAAACAGAGGAAUGAAAAAGACAUGACAUAUACAGAAAAUGAAAAGUGAUGAAGUCAGAAAUAAAUAAAACAAAAAGAAAAGAAAAGUAAAAUGACAGAUGUAUAUACUACCAUAUCAGUAAUAACACUCAGUCAGACUGGAUAAAAGUCAAUAUUCAACUAUAUGCUGUCUAUGGGAGACAUUUUAUUUUUUAUUUAUUUAUAUUUUUUGUAGUGAUAGGGUCUUACUAUGUUGCCCAGGCUGAUCUCAAACUACUAGCUUCAAGUGAUUCUCCCACCUUGGCCUCCAAAAGUGUUGAGAUUACAGGCAUGAGCCACUGCACCCAGCCCAGAAGACACUUUAGAUUCAAAGACACAGGACAUCAUCAAGAAAGUGAACAGACAACACACACACAGAAUGAGAGAAAAUAUUUGCAAAUCAUUGGUAAAGGACUGGAAUUGGUAUGUCAAAUAUGUGAACAAGUCUUACAACUCAAUAAUAGAAUGACAACCCAACUUUAAAAUGGGCAAAGGAUGUGAAUAGAUAUUUCUCCAAAGAAGAUAUACAAAUGAUCAAUAAACAUGGGAAAAGACAGCCAACAUCAUUCAUUGUUAGGAAAAUGAAAAUCAAAACCACAAUGAGAUACCACUUUGUACCCACUAAUAUGGCUAUAAUAAAAAGGACAGAUAAUAAGCGUUGCUGAGGAUGUGGAGAAAUUGGAAACCUCAUCCACUGCUUGGGGAAAUGGAAAAUGGUGCACCCACUUUGGAAAGCAGCUGGCUGUUCUUCAAAACAUUAAACUGAGUUACCAUCCAACCCAGCAAUUCCACUGCUAGUUAUCUACCUGAGAGAAAUGAAAACAUGUCCUCAUAACAACUUUCACAGGAAUGUUCAUAGUAGCAUUAUGCAUAAUAGCAAAGAAGUGGAAACAACUCAUAUGUCCAUAAACUGCUGGAUAAACAAAAGGUGGUAUAUCCAUUCUGUGAAAUAUUAUUUGGUAAUAAAAAGAAAUGAAGUACUGAUGCAUGCAUGGAUGAACCUUGAAAAUAUUUUGCUAAGAAGCCAGUCACAAAAGACCACAUAUUGUAUGUUUCCAUUUAUAUGAAAUAAAACAGACACAUCCAUGGACAGAAAGUAGGUUAGUAGUUGCCUAGGGCUGAGGAGUGAAUGGAUUGUGGGGAGGUGUUGAGAGGUGAAAGCUAAGGGUGUAGGGUUUCUUUUCGUGGUAAUGACAGUGUUCUAAAAUUGAUUGUGGCCAUGGAUGCACAACUCUGUGACUAUACCAAAAACUUAACUCUUACAAUUAUAAAUAAAUUGUAUGGUAUGG